rnacentral:rRNA from 1 species
AACGUACGCUGGCGGCACGCCUAACACAUGCAAGUCGAACGAAGUAGCAAUACUUAGUGGCAGACGGGUGAGUAACAUGUAGGUAUCUGCCCUUUGGCCUGGAAUAACACGAGGAAACUUGUGCUAAUACCGGAUAAGUCUUUACGGAGAAAGCUUUAUGCACCAUUGGAUGAGCCUGCACUUGAUUAGUUUGUUGGUGGGGUAAUGGCCUACCAAGACUGUGAUCAAUAGCUGAUUUGAGAGGAUGAUCACCCACAUUGGGACUGAGACACGGCCCAAACUCCUACGGGAGGCAGCAGUGGGGAAUCUUGCACAAUGGAGGAAACUCUGAUGCAGCGAUGCCGCGUGAGUGAAGAAGGCCCUUGGGUUGUAAAGCUCUUUCGUCGGGGAAGAAAAUGACUGUACCCGAAUAAGAAGGUCCGGCUAACUUCGUGCCAGCAGCCGCGGUAAUACGAAGGGACCUAGCGUAGUUCGGAAUUACUGGGCUUAAAGAGUUCGUAGGUGGUUGAAAAAGUUGGUGGUGAAAUCCCAGAGCUUAACUCUGGAACUGCCAUCAAAACU